GUGGAUUAUAUACCCUGGUAGUCCACGCCGUAAACUAUGGGUGCUAGCCGUCGGAUAGCUUGCUAUUCGGUGGCGCAGCUAACGCAUUAAGCACCCCGCCUGGGGAGUACGGCCGCAAGGUUAAAACUCAAAGGAAUUGACGGGGGCCCGCACAAGCGGUGGAGCAUGUGGUUUAAUUCGACGCAACGCGAAGAACCUUACCAGCUCUUGACAUUUCCUGACUGGUUCCAGAGAUGGGAUCGUCCUAGCAAUAGGCAGGAGGACAGGUGCUGCACGGCCGUCGUCAGCU
rnacentral:rRNA from 1 species